rnacentral:lncRNA from 10 species
GCAGAGACGGAGGCCACUGGGCACAGGAGAGAUUUGGGAUGGAGAGCUGGUGAGCCUUUCUCUGUUCUCCACAUCUGAAAGUCUGGCUUUAGGCACAAUAUUUAUGAACUUUAGCAAUAUGCACAAAUCAAAUGAGCUGAAAAAUCAGACCAGGCAGAUAAAAGUAAAAUCAUCUUACUGAAAUUCCUGGAAACAACAGUUUCAGCCAUUUGACAUAUAAACUAGAAGAUUUGGUGCCCAGCAUGAAGAAUAGUUCCUUUCAAGUACCUGUAUGUCCUGAAUGUAUUCCUUCCAGUGGGUUCUUGGUCUCGCUGACUUCAAGAAUGAAGCCUUGGACCCUCGUGAUAUGUGCUCACCCUUCUCUGCUCAGCUCUGUGCCUGGGAGGCUGACCUCUACAAACUGCAUCACCAGGCUUCCGCCCUCUGGCUUCCAGAUGGAUUUGGCCAAUGGGCAGCACCAGUGGGAAAGGAGAGGACAGGAGGAGAGACAGGCUGAGGUCAUGUAUUUAUCCCCCUCUUCCCUACCCCAUGACAGUUCUGACAGGCAGCCCCUCCGUUUCUCCAGCUCUCAGCUGAGCUCCAGUAACAAGCUUCCUUCUCUUUCCCCUUUAGGGUUGGGGUGGCAAGAGCCACCACCUGGGUGUCUCACUAUAUCUUGUUGGCUUCCCUAAUCCUGCCUACAUUAAUCAUUUUUUUUAAAUUUCAAACUCUCUUGAUGCUUCCAUUUGUUUCCCGAGGAAUCCUGGCUAAUGGAGCAAGCUUGGACACAUUCCUUCAUUUCACAGGUCCUCAGUUUAUUUAGCUGUAAAAUGAAGGGCCUGAGCAGCCUUUCCCAAAGUGGAUUCUGCACAUCAGUCUCACCAUAUUCCAUUUUGUAUUCUGUGGUCAAAUAUGUUUGGGGAACACUGAAUAUAAUGUCCCCUUUUGGAGAGCCACAAUUUGUGGCACCGUGUCAACAACUCUGAGAGGUCCUGAAGUAGAUACACCUGUUUUACCCUGUUUAGUUCAGCAUUUCCCAAAUAUAGUUAACAAUGGAACCACUGUUUUUUGCUUGUUUGCUUUUGCAGAAAACCCUAAUAACAUAGAGAAAACACCAGAUCAAGUUGGGCCAUGUAUGGCAUUGUCUUAUUCUGUGGAAAGAACCUCAUCAACCACUCAAAGAUUACCGCAACAGUCAACUAAUCCAUCA